AUGAGUAACGCUCACUGUCUCUGUGUUUCUGUCUUUGUUCUGUGUCUUGCAGUCACUGUUCUUGGUAAAAGUGCUGUCCAGACUCCUCCUGAUCUCUUGAAGAAAGAAAAUGAAUUUGCUGAGAUCAAAUGUACAAACAAUGUACAAGGUUAUGAUGUCAUACAGUGGUACAAACAAAGCCAGAGAACCACGGGCCUUCAGUUUAUGGGAUACCUUAAUAUUAAACAAGAGAUCAAAGAGACUACAUUUAAUGAUAAGAUCAAUCUGGAUGGAGAUGGGAGAAAUAACGUCACUCUGACUAUCAAAAACCUCACGCUGAAUGACAGUGCAGUGUAUUUCUGUGCAGCAUCUUACACAGUACUCAGAAUCAGCUCCGUCUAA